rnacentral:rRNA from 1 species
GUGGGGAAUUUUGGACAAUGGGCGCAAGCCUGAUCCAGCAAUGCCGCGUGCAGGAAGAAGGCCUUCGGGUUGUAAACUGCUUUUGUACGGAACGAAACGGUCCUGGCUAAUACCUGGGGCUAAUGACGGUACCGUAAGAAUAAGCACCGGCUAACUACGUGCCAGCAGCCGCGGUAAUACGUAGGGUGCGAGCGUUAAUCGGAAUUACUGGGCGUACAGCGUGCGCAGGCGGUGCUGUAAGACAGGCGUGAAAUCCCCGGGCUCAACCUGGGAAUUGCGCUUGUGACUGCAGUGCUGGAGUGCGGCAGAGGGGGAUGGAAUUCCGCGUGUAGCAGUGAAAUGCGUAGAUAUGCGGAGGAACACCGAUGGCGAAGGCAAUCCCCUGGGCCUGCACUGACGCUCAUGCACGAAAGCGUGGGGAGCAAACAGGAUUAGAUACCCCGGUAGUCC